ACAGUUCAUUAUUUUAGUAAUGUCUCUCAUUUUCAGUGUUGCAAUGCAUAACUUAUGCAUUACUGUAGCGUUUCGAUGUAUCAUAUUAAGUUUUCUUCUGAUAGGUGGAAUAAAUGGAAACAAAGUAACCCAGUUAGAAUCAAGCAAAACUGUACGUGAAGGAGAUGACCUUUUUCUCUCCUGUAAUUUUACAACAUCCAGUGCAGCUCCAAAUGUAUUCUGGUAUCAGCAGAAGCCAAAUGGACCUGUUAAGUAUUUGGGACUUUAUAUGAAUAGAUAUGACGUUAAUGCAACAGAAGGUCGCUUCACCUCACACUAUAACAUUUCCAGCAGUUCCACACUUCUAAGAAUCUUCAAAGCACAGCCCUCUGACUCGGCAGUUUACUUUUGUGUGCUGAGUGACACAGUGGCUGACAUAAUCAGUAACACGAUACACGAACAACUAAUGCUUGAGCAGGAAAGCAAAACUGAAGCCUGCACCCCCCCCAAAUAUGGAGAAAGGAUUUGUACUGCAUUCUUCAAGAUUUAAUUAUGCCCAUUUCCACUAGAAUCCAAUAAUCACUAAAUGCUUUAAAGAUUUAGAAAAUGCUUAUUCAUCACCUCUGUAGGAGUAC